CAGUGCUUGACAAUACCCUCUCCACAUG
rnacentral:piRNA from 1 species